UACUGUCUGUUGAAAGCAGGUCUGACAGUAUAUCUACUGUCUGUUGAUAGCAGGUCUGACAGUAUAUCUACUGUCUGUUGAUAGCAGGUCUGACAGUAUAUCUACUGUCUGUUGAUAGCAGGUCUGACAGUAUAUCUACCGUCUGUUGAUAGCAGGUCUAACAGUAUAUCUAUAUUCUGUUGAUAGGAGGUCUAACAGUAUAUCUACUGUUGAUAGCAGGUCUAACAGUAUUUCUACUGUUGAUAGCAGGUCUGAGAGUAUAUCUACUGUUUGUUGAUAGCAGGUCUAACAGUAUAUCUACUGUCUGUUGAUAGCAGGUCUAACAGUAUAUCUACUGUUUGUUGAUAGCAGGUCUAACAGUAUAUCUACUGUCUGUUGAUAGCAGGUCUAACAGUAUAUCUACUGUUUGUUGAUAGCAGGUCUAACAGUAUAUCUACUGUCUGUUGAUAGCAGGUCUAACAGUAUAUCUACUGUCUGUUGAUAGCAGGUCUGACAGUAUAUCUACUGUCUGUUGAUAGCAGGUCUGACAGUAUAUCUACUGUUGAUAGCAGGUCUAACAGUAUAUCUACUGUUGAUAGCAGGUCUAACAGUAUAUCUACAGUUGAUAGCAGGUCUGACAGUUUAUCUACUGUCUGUUGAUAGCAGGUCUAACAGUAUAUCUACUGUCUGUUGAAAGCAGGUCUGACAGUAUAUCUACUGUCUGUUGAUAGCAGGUCUGACAGUUUAUCUACUGUCUGUUGAUAGCAGGUCUGACAGUAUAUCUACUGUCUGUUGAUAGCAGGUCUGACAGUAUAUCUACUGUUGAUAGCAGGUCUAACAGUAUAUCUACUGUUGAUAGCAGGUCUGACAGUAUAUCUACUGUUGAUAGCAGGUCUGACAGUAUAUCUACUGUUGAUAGCAGGUCUAACAGUAUAUCUACUGUUGAUAGCAGGUCUGACAGUAUAUCUACUGUCUGUUGAUAGCAGGUCUGACAGUAUAUCUACUGUUGAUAGCAGGUC